rnacentral:lncRNA from 1 species
UGAGGCAAAAUGAUGUAUCCAGCUAGCGCCAUCGAAGACAUUUGGAAAACUCAGGUUUCUUCAUGGCUUGCAAGAUUAUCUAGGCAUCUGGAAGAGGCUCUGGGAGGGUCCAAGCAACAAACCACGCGGCGUUCUCUGGUGGCUGAGCUGGGACGAGUGGGCGGAAACAGCCGCAGGUCUCUCUCUUCUCUUCAGCCUGAAACUCACUGCACAAAUACCAGAGGUUUUUUUUAGAGAUUAGAUAAAUUUGCAUCCUUCUCCCCCCAACCCCGCCGCUAAGCCAGAGGAAGUGCUUGAGGAAGUAAUGUGUUUAAAGAAUGUGGGGGAGGGGAGCUUACAUUAGGAAGCAGGACUCUUAGCCUGUAGCCAGAAACCCCAAUAACCUUUAAGCUGUUAACCCUUGAGGAUACGGCUCAAUGGUGUACCCACGUGGAGUUCAUUAUUUAUCUCCGAAAGCCCUAUCUGUCUCUCAUUCCGAGCCUUAAACGAAUCAUCUGCAGUUUGGCCAACAAUUCAGUUCCAGCUCCCUGGGAAUACCAGCAAAUCCCGGGACAGCUCUUCCUUCUGCUGAAAACACCAGGAAAAUCCGCCCAGGAGCACAGGCUGUUUGACCAGAA